UACGUAGGGUGCGAGCGUUAAUCGGAAUUACUGGGCGUAAAGCGUGCGCAGGCGGUUUUGUAAGCCAGAUGUGAAAUCCCCGGGCUUAACCUGGGAAUGGCAUUUGGGACUGCAAGGCUGGAGUGCGGCAGAGGAGACUGGAAUUCCUGGUGUAGCAGUGAAAUGCGUAGAUAUCAGGAGGAACACCGAUGGCGAAGGCAGGUCUCUGGGCUGACACUGACGCUGAGGCGCGAAAGCGUGGGGAGCAAACAGG
rnacentral:rRNA from 1 species